UACCGAGGAGCCAAGCGUUGUCCGGAUUGACUGGGCGUAAAGCGCACGCAGGCGGCCGCGCGCGUGGGGUGUGAAAUCUGGCCGCUUAACGGCCAGGCGCCAUCCCAUACGGCGUGGCUGGAGCCAUGCAGAGGGCGGUGGAAUUGCCGGUGUAGUGGUGAAAUGCGUAGAGAUCGGCAGGAACACCCAGGGGGAAACCAGCCGCCUGGGCAUGCGCUGACGCUGAGGUGCGAGAGCGUGGGGAGCGAACCGG
rnacentral:rRNA from 1 species